UGUUAUCGAAAGAUCUAAAGG
ensembl:piRNA 21ur-5234 ncRNA